GGUCCAUAGCUCAGUAGUAGAGCAUUUGCUUUACAUGCAAAAGGCCCCAGGUUCAAUUCCUGGCAUCUCCA